rnacentral:tRNA from 2 species
GCGGGCGUGGCGGAACGGCAGACGCGCUGGACUUAGGAUCCAGUGGGAGUGAUCUCGUGGAGGUUCAAGUCCUCUCGCCCGCACCA